rnacentral:rRNA from 1 species
AGUGAACGCUGGCGGUAGGCCUAACACAUGCAAGUCGAACGGCAGCACAGUAAGAGCUUGCUCUUACGGGUGGCGAGUGGCGGACGGGUGAGGAAUACAUCGGAAUCUACUUUUUCGUGGGGGAUAACGUAGGGAAACUUACGCUAAUACCGCAUACGACCUACGGGUGAAAGCAGGGGAUCUUCGGACCUUGCGCGAUUGAAUGAGCCGAUGUCGGAUUAGCUAGUUGGCGGGGUAAAGGCCCACCAAGGCGACGAUCCGUAGCUGGUCUGAGAGGAUGAUCAGCCACACUGGAACUGAGACACGGUCCAGACUCCGACGGGAGGCAGCAGUGGGGAAUAUUGGACAAUGGGCGCAAGCCUGAUCCAGCCAUACCGCGUGGGUGAAGAAGGCCUUCGGGUUGUAAAGCCCUUUUGUUGGGAAAGAAAAGCAGCAGGUUAAUACCCCGCUGUUCUGACGGGACCCAAAGAAUAAGCACCGGCGAACUUCGU